rnacentral:rRNA from 2 species
ACGGGUGAGUAACACGUGGGCAAUCUGCCCUUCACUCUGGGACAAGCCCUGGAAACGGGGUCUAAUACCGGAUACCACUACCGCAGGCAUCUGUGGUGGUUGAAAGCUCCGGCGGUGAAGGAUGAGCCCGCGGCCUAUCAGCUUGUUGGUGAGGUAAUGGCUCACCAAGGCGACGACGGGUAGCCGGCCUGAGAGGGCGACCGGCCACACUGGGACUGAGACACGGCCCAGACUCCUACGGGAGGCAGCAGUGGGGAAUAUUGCACAAUGGGCGAAAGCCUGAUGCAGCGACGCCGCGUGAGGGAUGACGGCCUUCGGGUUGUAAACCUCUUUCAGCAGGGAAGAAGCGAAAGUGACGGUACCUGCAGAAGAAGCGCCGGCUAACUACGUGCCAGCAGCCGCGGUAAUACGUAGGGCGCAAGCGUUGUCCGGAAUUAUUGGGCGUAAAGAGCUCGUAGGCGGCUUGUCACGUCGGGUGUGAAAGCCCGGGGCUUAACCCCGGGUCUGCAUUCGAUACGGGCUAGCUAGAGUGUGGUAGGGGAGAUCGGAAUUCCUGGUGUAGCGGUGAAAUGCGCAGA